CCACGGCGCCCAAUCACAGCGCGUCGCCCGGCGGACCCGCCCCGCGCCUGCCUCCCAGUGUCCCGGCGAUAGGAAGACCUCACAGGGCUCUUGUGACCUGGCAGGCAGCUUUCUGGGAGUUGAGGCCUUCGGGGGCGUUCAGGCGCCAGCACCCCCACGUCCAACAGGGGUUGAGCUUACACCCCACUUCCCUUUGUUGCUCAGGUUUCCUAUCCUAGGACACUCGGGCCUGGCGUGCCUGGAAGAGUACUUGGUGACGGGCUGGAGGAAAUGCAAGAGAAGAGGGCUUGCACAUUCUCUUCGGGCUCACUAUUUCCUCCUUUGGUGACAGCCUGUUAAAACCUGGGGGAAAGGAGACUGACAAAGGGCCGUCCAGGCACAUGUAGAAACAUCUGACUACGAAAUCCAUGAGUGUAAUCUGAGAAGUGAUGCUUCUGCCAGUUAUUGAUUUAUUGCCUCUCAGCUCCAAAUUCGCCCUUUUUGACUGCACUGUAAAAACGGAUCUGAGCCUUUUAAACAGUUUUUCGUUUGCCUUCUGGGACUGAAGCUUUAUCAGCAGAGGGCGCUGAAGAGACAUUACAGAAAAAAAGGAUUUUGCUUCCUGAUUUCUGUGUAUUGAUAAGCUUUUGCAGCAU
rnacentral:lncRNA from 10 species